rnacentral:lncRNA from 1 species
CCUUCUCGACCCCGCCCACCGAAAGAACAAGCAAGAACGAACUUUGGCUAGCUAUUUCCGGAAUCGUCAUAUCCGGCUUCAAUAGCCACUUGCUGAAUUGAGCUCCACCCUUCUGCGUUCGGCCAAUUGCCAAUCAUUUCCGUUCCCUGUCCUUCCGGAUCAAUCGACAAUCACAAAAGAAAAUUCUCAGAGAGGGACUGUGAUGUACUCCACAUCCUGAAUUUCUACUAUGGGACCAAGUCACAACACAGAUAUGCUGGAAAUGACAUCUACAAUCAAAUGAAUUCUUUUCAGAACCUUCAUCUUUUGUAAAUGAUUAAGAACCUUAAUAGUAUAUGAUUGCUUGUCGAGACAAGGCCUUAAGCAGAGGUCUUGAAAAUUCAGCACUCUGAUCUCAGGUAUGAAAUGAAAAGGUAGGAGAGGAAAAGUUCACAAAACUUGGUGCAUUUGCCAACUAUUUUCCAUCUAAUUUUCUUUUUUGUUGGACUUGUCUCUUUAAAAAUCAUUCACAGUUCUUUAAACAGAUUCAUGAUUU